rnacentral:rRNA from 1 species
AGAGCGAACGCUGGCGGCAGGCCUAACACAUGCAAGUCGAGCGCCCGUAGCAAUACGGGAGCGGCAGACGGGAUAGUAACACGUGGGAACGCGCCCUUCGGUUCGGAAUAACUCAGGGAAACUUGAGCUAAUACCGAAUACGCCCUUACGGGGAAAGAUUUAUUGCCGAAGGAACGGCCCGCGUCCGAUUAGCUAGUUGGUGAGGUAAUGGCUCACCAAGGCUACGAUCGGUAGCUGGUCUGAGAGGAUGACCAGCAUCACUGGGACUGAGACACGGCCCAGACUCCUACGGGAGGCAGCAGUGGGGAAUAUUGGACAAUGGGCGAAAGCCUGAUCCAGCCAUGCCGCGUGGAUGAUGAAGGCCUUAGGGUUGUAAAGUCCUUUUAACGGGGAAGAUAAUGACGGUACCCGUAGAAUAAGCCCCGGCUAACGUUCGUGCCAGCAGCCGC